rnacentral:rRNA from 1 species
UUAAGCAUAUCACUAAGCGGAGGAAAAGAAACUAACUAGGAUUUCCCUAGUAGCGGCGAGCGAACCGGAAGGAGCCCAGCUUGAAAAUCGCGUAGCCUCGCUGUGCGAAUUGUAGUCUGGAGAAGCGUCCUCUGCAGCGGACCGGGCCCAAGUUCCCUGGAACGGGACGUCGGAGAGGGUGAGAGCCCCGUCGAGCUCGGACCCUGCUGCUCCACGAGGCGCUGUCGGCGAGUCGGGCUGUUUGGGAAUGCAGCCCUAAGUGGGUGGUAAAUUCCAUCCAAGGCUAAAUAUGGGCAAGAGACCGAUAGCGAACAAGUACCGCGAGGGAAAGAUGAAAAGGACUUUGAAAAGAGAGUUAAAAAGUGCUUGAAAUUGCUGGGAGGGAAGCGAAUGGAGGCUGCGGGUGCGCCCCGGUUGAAUGCGGAACGGCGUAAGCUGGUCCGCCGGUCAACGCGGGGUGCUGGUCAGCGUGGGCUAUCCUGGCGGGACAACAGCUUGCUUUUGUUGCUUGCCUAUGCCGUUGGGAUGGCCGAGGAAUGAAGCGCGCGCCUUCGGGCGGCCCUUGGGACCUGCGCGCUCGGGACGCUGGCGUAUUGAGCUUUCCAUCCGGCCCGUCUUGAAACACGGACCAAGGAGUCUAACAUGUAUGCAAGCCGGUGGGUGGCAAACCCACAGAGGCGCAAGUAACCUGACAGGUGGGAUCCCCUUGCGGGGAGCACCAUCGACCGACCAUGAUCUUCUGUGAAAGGUUUGAGUGUGAGCAUACCUGCUGGGACCCGAAAGAUGGUGAACUAUGCCUGAGCAGGGCGAAGCCAGAGGAAACUCUGGUGGAGGCUCGUAGCGAUACUGACGUGCAAAUCGUUCGUCAGACUUGGGUAUAGGGGCGAAAGACUAAUCGAACCAUCUAGUAGCUGGUUCCCUCCGAAGUUUCCCUCAGGAUAGCUGGAGCUCAUGUAGUUUUAUCAGGUAAAGCGAAUGAUUAGAGGCAUCGGGGGUGAAACACCCUCGACCUAUUCUCAAACUUUAAAUAGGUAAGCCGCCGGGGUUGCUUGAUUGAACCCCGGCAGAGAAUGAGAGCUCCAAGUGGGCCAUUUUUGGUA